rnacentral:rRNA from 1 species
UACAGAGGGGGCAAGCGUUGUUCGGAAUUACUGGGCGUAAAGGGCGCGUAGGCGCCUUCUAAGUCGAACGUGAAAUCCCCGGGCUCAACCCGGGAACUGCGUCCGAUACUGGAAGGCUUGAAUCCGGGAGAGGGAUGCGGAAUUCCAGGUGUAGCGGUGAAAUGCGUAGAUAUCUGGAGGAACACCGGUGGCGAAGGCGGCAUCCUGGACCAGUAUGACGCUGAGGCGCGAAAGCGGAGG